UAUACAUAACAUUGUGACCAGCAGCUAUUAAACUACAGUAAUAUAAAAAUUUUGUUUUAACAUGCUCUGGUCAGACCUGUUGUUAUCUCAAGCCUUUGUGCCCCACGUUGGAUUCCAAAAAGGAUCGCUGUGGUUUAACGUAGCAGGCGGCUCAGCACCACACAGCUGUUCACUCACUCCCUUGAAGUGAGAUGAGCAGGUCAGUCUGAGAAGCUGAGAAAUCACUGGCUUAGUGUAAGCACUGCUCAGCAACAGCCAAAAUAGCAGUAUGUUAUCAACGUUGUUCUUAUCCUAAAUCCAGAGCACAGUAAAAUUCUAUCUCUUAGGAAAAAAGUUAACUCUACCCUCACCAAAAGUAGGACACCUUGAUAUUUGCCACAAAGAGACAUCGCACAGGUGCUGGCAGUUACUCUUCUUAGGUAGGAGAAGUCACCUCACCUUGGUGAGGAGCUGUAGAGGUGUGGGGUUUUUUGGUUUUGUUUUCUGGGGGAUUUUUUUUGGACACCAGUUUCAGUUUUGGUGCAUAUUUUUUCUUCAUCUCCUUUCUUUAAGCCAGUCUGCAAGUGCUUGUGUCCAUAUGGGCCUGAAUCCCUCAGCACUGGAGUUGGAAGGCUCUCCAUGUGCCUUACACCAACAUUUCCUUUCUGAUGACUCUGGCAAGGAAAUGGCCAAGGUGGCUGCUUCAUGCUAUUAAAGCUUUGUGAUGUAGCUAGGGUUACAUGCAUUUUCUGUGGCAUGCUCCACUAGCCGAGCUUAUGAAAUGUGCUCUCGCAAAUGCUAGAGAUCUUUUCCUUCCUAGGGGCAAUGAGGAGCCUUGGGUGGGUGGAUCUUGGCCUUGCUCUUUUACAAGUUAAGGAAGCAAUUAGAGGUUGGCUAUUUCUUGCUGGAGCAAAACAUUCAGAGCCUGUGCUUUCCAAUGGUACCACUAACAGAGCUGCUGCUCUGGCCCCUGUGUGAUGGACUAUAAGUCCCUGCAUUGGAAAGAGGCUCAGAAGAUAGGCAAGGAUGAUGUUGGGCUGCUUGAUGACCUCUCCAAUAAAAAGAAGGGAAGGCCAAGUGUCCUGUGCUGCCUGAGUUCUUCCUUAUGGUCCUUCUAAAGAGAAGAGAAGGAUUCUCUCUCCCAGUCCUAAGGAACCUUUCCUGUUCACCACUUCAUUUCAAAGAUCACUGAGAAUGGCUCCAUGGUGACGCUGGCCCUCAGUACCUGUCCAGUUCUGGUGUGACCACAGUGUGGGGCCUUCCCUAUCUUGUUGCAGAGCAAUGCGCUCAGGAGCACGUAGCCACCGUAGCUAAUAUUCACUAAUGACUUACGAUGUAAUCUUAGAUGAAAGAAAUAGAUUGAUAAGUGCAGGUGCAGUGGUGUGUAUAGUACACUGCAGCUUAGCAAGAUGUUCUGUAUAUGAAAAUUGCUUGGGAAACACCAUUGUUCUCUGAUACGCUUGGCUGCAUGAAACCUGGAUCCUGUAAACAAGUAUGCUAUAUAAAGGCUUGUUGCUACAAUAAAGUUGAAGCUGUGUGCACUCACAUUGAGUGGUCGUGCCUCCCCACGCAAGGAGGCAACCCUCUGGGAAAACUUGGGGCGUUUCCCAACACUAUCUCUGGGAAAGAAAGGUCAAUUCCCCUGUAAUGCCACCAUGAGAGGAGCUUUAUUGGUCUAAAUUCUCCUGGAUUGCACAAGUCAGUAUUCAAAAGGAUCAUCUCUGCCACUGGCUGCAGGUGAUAGAGAGCUGCAAAGAGGCAGGAGGGGUCAUGAAGAGAGGGCCCAGCACUGUGCCCCCCCAAAGCCCUGUACCAGACCCACUGUCAGAGCACUGUGAUACCUCUGGCUACCACAAUGACCUGCAGAGUCAGAGCUUGGCCCUACUCAAAUCUACCUGAAAACUGGAGCCUCAUGCCCACUACUGGAGCUGCUAAGGCCUCCUGGUCUUUCCAAGAUGCCUCCAAAAAUGCAUGGAGCAGUGACAAAUGUCAGAGAACUGCCCCACAGCCCUGGCUUCCAGUCCAACAAAUCCAUUGGGCCUUGCCUAUGGAGCUGGAGAAGAAGGCUAUAAAUAUCGAAACUUUAGAGCUGGGACACGGCAGCAAGCAGAGCUGAGAGUGUGGGGCCUGGCCUCCUCACCAGCACCAGCUCCAUGCGCACUGGAAGAUCUGCUAUGGAUACGGACAUACACACCAAGCCCUGAGUAAAUAAAUGCCUCUUCGGCUGAUCUCUCAAGGCAAGUUAUGUUGCUGGCAUGCCUGGACAGAUGGAAAAAUUCAGGCCUUCUGGGCCAUCUUGUCACCCAUGCUGCAUGCACUGGUAUAGAGGCACUUCAGCUGGGCUAUUGACCUCACCCCCAGCCCUGGCAUACUGCCCCUAGGCUUAUCUCCAGUGAGCCUGGUU